GACAGAGGCCUCAAGCGUUAGGCGGAAUCACUGGGCUUAAAGCGUGUGUAGGCGGAUGCCUAAGUACCUUGUGAAAUCCCACGGCUCAACCGUGGAACUGCUGGGUAUACUGGGCGUCUUGGGCCAUUCAGGGGCGACUGGAACAAGCGGUGGAGCGGUGAAAUGCGUAGAUAUCGACCGGAACUCCGGUGGCGAAGGCGAGGUGCUGGACCCUUUCUGACGCUGAGGCGCGAAAGCCAGGGGAGCGAACGG
rnacentral:rRNA from 1 species